rnacentral:lncRNA from 1 species
UGAUACUCCCACCUUACCCUCACCACAAGAUGCUGGGAUUUCAGGCAUGAACCACCAUGUCUGGCUCAGUGUGGUGUUUUAAUAUAUGUGUACACUGUGGAAUGUCUGCUGUUCCUUACAUGAUAAUUUUUAAUGAAGUUCAUCACUAAUCUGUUACUAUUUUUCCAGUCUGCGAAUUGCCAGAAGCCCAGUCUGCGAAUUGCCAGAAGCCCAAAGCCCAUCUUCCCUUGGCCUGAGUGACACGGCACUGACCUGCUCCUGCUCUUACUGCUCUGGCUGCCCCCUACAGUUCCACUCCUGGGCAUCUCUUCCCUCCUUUAACUGAUGGCUCCAUCUUAAAGAGAGUAGAAGUGACUUCACCCACCCUAUGGCCUAGAGGCCCAAACAUGAAGCUCCUGGGCAACAGGAUUUGGUUUUAUUAAAGAGCUGCCAAGUUCCUUUGCCUUGAUGUGAGUAUGGGGAUCAGGCGGCCUGGCUAAGCUGGUCAGAGGGAGCAUUUCCAGAGGUCAGAGCACAGUCUCCAUGGAAACCAGGGCUCUGCAUACCCAGGAGGACCCAGGGACAGCAGGAGGACCAGUGAGAAAGGUGGAGUGCUGAGGAGAGAACACUGGGGUGCAGGCAGGGCCAUCAGGUUGAAACCCACCCCCACUUCCCCAACUCCUACACAGAGUCCCUCCUCCACCCAGCUGGGAGAACCAGAGCUCAGCCUACAGGGAACAGACAGGGCUCCUUUCAUCCUGCAGCAGAUGCUGUGCCUCCUACGCCCCUCCUGGGCCUCAGGAAGGGGGCUGGGGGUUCUAGGGCUAUGGCUGGGGCUGAAAGAGCAGCCCCGGCCCUGAGAGGACCCACAGGGACACCAAGGCUGGGGGCUGCCUGUGCCACUUAGCACUCUCAUCCCCACACCUCUGCAGCUUCUCACUGUGGGACCCUGGGUUUCUGCCCUGGGGUUUCUCUGGCCUUUGGAGCACACUUGGCCAGAAGUGCCAGAAAGUUUGAGGAUCAGCCUUUAACCGAUGACAGCUGGAGUUGGUGACCAACUGCUCCAGUUUCCUUGCCUUUUGGGUGGGACCUCCCUGUGGCAGGUUCUGCGCAGUCUCCCACGGGUUCCCCACAGGACUGACCCACAGUGAUGACCUGCUCGGCAGCCACCAUGGCUUUCUUCUUUUCCCUGGAUCACCUCUGAAAUAAAUGAUUUGUACUUAAAUGUUUGCCUCAGGAUCAGCUUCUGGAGGAACCCAAACUGAGAAUCCCCUCUCUCUCCCUCACAUUCGCAUCCAAUCUGCCUGAUUCUGCUGAUUCUACCUCCUUAAAAAGCCCUCAAGGCCAGGUGUGGUGGCUCAUGCCUGUAAUGCUACCACUCUGGGAAGCCGAGGUGGGAGGAUCACUUGAGCCCAGGAGUUCAAG